AACCUUUUCCCCCCUUUCAACUAAAACUUUUUUCAUUAUGGCACAAGAUCACAUGGGUAAUUAUAAAAGAACACUGCGCAAAGAAAAAGAAACUCCUCGUAAGUUUUAAUAGACUCCUCAUUGUUUUUGAAGCUCAAAGAUCACGUCACACUGGCUGCUCUCGUCGUCUGGCAUCGUCCAUCGAGGCCUCAUCCGCCGUGCUGUUGAGUUAUACAUCAACCUCUGCUGUCCAACACAUCCUCUUGUGAGAACUAAUCAGAUGAGAUCUCAAGGUUAUGUUCCCUGCAAGUGAUUUUGAAGAAGAACUUCUACUUUCGUAUCACUUGACCCUCUUGACAAGGUGGACAGCAGACGUUGCUUUCUUUCAUUUUAACACAGUGUCUACAUUGGAUGCGUCCAACAUUGUUACUUGAAGUUCACACUGCUGUAGCAAGCUUUUUUUUGUCACUGCAGGCCAUUUUCAGAAACUUUUGAUGGCUGGAGGUCACUGAGUCUCUGUACUGCUGGUUUUUACUAGGCAUUUCUAUGCUUCCUCGGUAUCUGCACUCUCGCAUAGCAAUCUGCUCAACUCAGAUCACCAGCUGUCAUUGAAAACGAAGGACUUCCAGUCAGUCAAUAGUUAACUUCAAAAUUGUGUGCCACAAAACCAGAAAUGUGUUAUUAAAAUAGCUAGUUUUAAAGGUGGUAAUGUGUUUUAACUUUUUUUAAUGUUAAUCUUACUUGCUCCUUCAGACCAGGGUUGGGUAAAUCUCAGAAUUGGCUCUCUUUCAUUUCAUGAGUGUGAAUUUUAUCUAUCUAUCUAUCUAUCUAUCUAUCUAUCUAUCUAUCUAUCUAUCUAUUCUGUCGUUCGGUCGUUCUAUCGUUUCAGUCUUUCUAUCUGUCAUUCGGUCAUUCUGUCUUUCUUUUAAAAUAACUUGUUGGAUAUUCACAUCUGUGAGUGACUGAUUUGGCGAGUGAUUUUAGACUAUUUAAUUAGUUGAAAUGUGUAUGAGAGAAUGACUAUAUAACCUGAAGUAAAUGAAUGAAAGUCAGGCCUUUGCAAGUAAAAUUAUAUGACAAGUCAUUUUAGUUUGUCUGGGGCAAUGCAAAGACCCACAGAUCAACAGAGAUGGUUUUGAGAAUUUAUGUUGUGCAUUUACUGUUUUAUGCACAGAAAGUGUAAAGGAAAGAUUUUGUUUUUUAAUGUCCAAUUCUAUUUUUAUUGUAAUAAAGUUGUUGAGCCAAUACUUCA
ensembl:lncRNA